rnacentral:rRNA from 1 species
AAUACGUAGGGUGCAAGCGUUAAUCGGAAUUACUGGGCGUAAAGCGUGCGCAGGCGGCUUUGCAAGACAGAUGUGAAAUCCCCGGGCUCAACCUGGGAACUGCAUUUGUGACUGCAUGGCUGGAGUGCGGCAGAGGGGGAUGGAAUUCCGCGUGUAGCAGUGAAAUGCGUAGAUAUGCGGAGGAACACCGAUGGCGAAGGCAAUCCCCUGGGCCUGCACUGACGCUGAGGAGCGAAAGCGUGGGGAGCAAACAGG